GAGCGGCGAACGGGUGAGUAACACGUGAGCAACCUGCCCUAGGCUUUGGGAUAACCCCGGGAAACCGGGGCUAAUACCGAAUAUGACUGCUGGCCGCAUGGCUGGUGGUGGAAAGUUUUUCGGCCUGGGAUGGGCUCGCGGCCUAUCAGCUUGUUGGUGGGGUGAUGGCCUACCAAGGCGACGACGGGUAGCCGGCCUGAGAGGGCGACCGGCCACACUGGGACUGAGACACGGCCCAGACUCCUACGGGAGGCAGCAGUGGGGAAUAUUGCACAAUGGGCGGAAGCCUGAUGCAGCGACGCCGCGUGAGGGAUGACGGCCUUCGGGUUGUAAACCUCUUUCAGCAGGGACGAAGCGUGAGUGACGGUACCUGCAGAAGAAGCGCCGGCCAACUACGUGCCAGCAGCCGCGGUAAGACGUAGGGCGCGAGCGUUGUCCGGAUUUAUUGGGCGUAAAGAGCUCGUAGGCGGCUUGUCGCGUCGACUGUGAAAACCCGCAGCUCAACUGCGGGCCUGCAGUCGAUACGGGCAGGCUAGAGUUCGGUAGGGGAGACUGGAAUUCCUGGUGUA
rnacentral:rRNA from 1 species